AUUGGUCAAUGGGGGGAACCCUGAUCCAGCCAUGCCGCCUGUGUGAAGAAGGUCUUCGGAUUGUAAAGCACUUUAUGUUGGGAGGAAGAGUUGUAGGCUAAUACCUUGCAAUUUUGACGUGACCAACAGAAUAAGCACCGGCUAACUUCGUGCCAGCAGCCGCGGUAAUACGAAGGGUGCAAGCGUUAAUCGGAAUUACUGGGCGUAAAGCGCGCGUAGGUGGUUCGUGAAGUUGGAAGUGAAAGCCCCGGGCUUAACCUGGGAUUUGCUUUCAAAACUGACGAGCUAGAGUACGGUAGAGGGUAGUGGAAUUUCCUGUGUAGCGGUGAAAUGCGUAGAUAUAGGAAGGAACAUCAGUGGCGAAGGCGACCACCUGGACUGAUACUGACACUGAGGUGCGAAAACGUGGGGAGCAAACA
rnacentral:rRNA from 1 species